GACGAAGGAUCCAAGCGUUAUCCGGAUUUAUUGGGUUUAAAGGGUGCGUAGGCGGACUUGUAAGUCAGUGGUGAAAGCCCGAUGCUUAACAUCGGAACUGCCAUUGAUACUGCAAGUCUUGAAUAUGUUUGAAGUGGGCGGAAUGUGUCGUGUAGCGGUGAAAUGCUUAGAUAUGACACAGAACACCGAUUGCGAAGGCAGCUCACUAAACCAUUAUUGGCGCUGAUGCACGAAAGCGUGGGGAGCAAACAGG
rnacentral:rRNA from 1 species